CAUAGAAAAUAUGUAUAAGGCCACCCGGGAAGGGGAGUCGCACCCCAAUCCAGAAAAUUUAGUUGUAGGCGUCGGGGUUGGCGACGAGGUAGGCCUCGGCACCCUUGAAAAUAGCAGUGAGUGCCUCCUUGGCCUUGGCUUCCUCGUCCUUCUCGUCCACGCCCGGCAGCAGCUUGUAGGUCGACUCCACCUUCACCACGCUGCCGCCGUCGGCCGCGGGCUCCACCUUGAUGUGCGACGCCGCGGUCUCGACGGCAACGCCUAUGCCGCCGCCCUCGACGAGCGUGUUCUUGCACUCGCACUUGUCCAUGUCCAGGAAAUCGAGCCUCUCCUUCAUGAAGCUGAACGGCAUGACUGCAAAAGCGAUCGCACGUCAGGCGCUAGCUGUUUGAUCGAUGAUCAGGCGAGAACAUCAUGUUGGUCUGGGCAUGCUGCGGACACUUACAUGAGGUGAAGUUGAACUGCCUGACGCUGCCAACGCCGCCAUCGCCCUCCACGGGGUGGGCGCUGGUGACGACGUGGGAAGCGACCUUGGGCGCCAGGUUGUGCCAGUCAAUAACGGCGGCGCGGAACAGGCGUGGCGCGGCCACCGGCGAAGGGAUCUCGAGGGUCCAGCUGUUGGCGGAGGCCAUUACGACUUCAGUGAUGCCGAUCGACUAAACUUGUGGUAGCUGAAGCUGCUUAGGUGCUCAGCUCUGAGCGUGGCAGUGCUGCUGGUGGUGGUUCUAGGAUGGCAGCUUCUCUGCUUGCGUUGCCAUGAGAGUGGCGGGCUGAGGGCUUUAAAUAGGCCGUUAUGGUCCGUCCCGUGAGGAUGAGAUCGACGCCCGGGAGUCGUCGGCGGCUCUUCCCACUUGGGUUGGCUUGGCACGGCAUCGUCUCGUCGCCUCGGCGGUCCAUUAGUCCAUUAUUAUAAUAUAUGUUGCCGGGGUUGCAGACAAAUGUUAGGAAACGUGCUGUCACUCCGUCAACGUUCAACAUCAAGAAGGUGCGGAAGUAGAGCGUGUGAGGAAGGACCGAAGGAGCCGCCAGGGGUCCACCGAUGCCACCCCUGUUAUCAAUAAUCAAGGAGAUCUGCGAUGCAUAGAAAUAAUUUGUAUUGUUUUCUACAAACUUUGGUAUUUAUAUCUCAGAUAUCUGCUUCCAUAGAAAUAUCUAAAAUAUAUUACUUUAUCUAAUAAAUUACAUUGUGUGUUAGCAUUUUCUCAAAGUAUUUUAAAGGGUGUUAAAUUAGCACGCAAGGUUCUAAUGCAUAUGUAUAAUCAACAACACUUAUUGGCACUUGAUAACCGCUUUAACCAUGAUUUUCUCCUCUUCAUGGUACGACUAUCUAUCCUAAACCCAAUUAUAUCCUCUAUAGUGUCUUGAUUAGUGAAACACAAAUAGCUUUAUCAUAUAUCUUUGUCUUGAGCCUAUUUUUGUUUCUCUCUUUCUUCUUUUCCAAGUUGGAGUACAUGAUCUUCACAUUUGGCCACCUCUAUCAUCAUGGAUGUCAUCAUCUAGCUCCACCAUUAGUGUGUACCAAUCCUAUCUCAUAUACACUUAGAACAAUGAUUACUACACUUAGGUUUCACUAAUUAUUUAAAACCAAAAUAGCGCUUUCACAUAUCAAGUUUAAUCACACACAACAUCUGCUUCUUGCCCUUUUCUCUUUCAUGAAAUGCAAGCAUUCAUACACCGUCGGUAUGUUGUCCGUAAUGAGUCUCCUUAGCACAAACGUUGACUAUUCUUUCGAAAUCACCUUGGGUAAAAUAAUCUGUAGUCUGUUUGCCACUGUCUUAGAAGCAAUCUUGUAUAUUACAUUACAUAGACUGAUAGGUCAAAACUGCCCUAGCUUGACCGGCUUCUCCACUCUUGGGAUCAGUACUAUGCAUAUGCUAUUUAUCAGGGAGGAUCAUCCUCCCCCUCCAACACACGCAACAACACAACACACACAUCCUCGUUACAUAAGUCCCAAUGCAGCUGAAAAAAUGUCUUCAUCUUGAACAUUUAAAGCACAAUCCUGAUCUCCUCCUUUCAUAUACAAGCAAGCGUCCUGACUACUUGUAUCACUCUUUUGGUGUUGCACUAUCGUUAUUAGCUUUAUUAUUAACUCCUUUCGUAUCCAAUCUCCAGAAUUAAGCAAAGGUUUGUUUGCUUUCUCAAUUUACCAUCAUAUGAUUAUUAUACGAUAAUCCAAUAAAUACAUCUCUUUUAUUCAUCCUGCAAAAGGUCUAGUGGUGAGAAUAUGGACAGAGCUUAUAAAGUGAAUAUACAAUCAUAGUAUAUGUACUUCGCCACUAAAGUUAAUAUACAAAGAAAUUGGAGGGUGAUUCAAAGAAAUUGGAGAGUGAAUCUCUUCUUUCAAACCUCCGAAGAAACUACUCACAAAGUAAACAUCAUCAUAGGAGCUAUUGUACAAUAGAAUUUGAUGCGCAAGCUGUUCAAACUGCUCAAAGUACUCUGUGACCGAAGUAAGUUUAUCCAAUUGUUUCAUGCAUAAUUGAUAUUGGUCACGGUCAAAAUAACUGCAAACUGCAUCACAAGAGCAGGCCAAGAUGUGAAACAACCAUGCAAAUCUGCAGAUUGUAACCAAGUAGCAGCGGUCCUCCAAAAUUCAAUGUGGCAAACCUGGCUUCAAUGUCUUGCUGAUAGAGUACACUUCAAAAUAGAUCUCACAAUGAUCUACAACCACAAAUUGUCACUAUCAAAUUUGGGGAAAUCUGAUUUGAGCUUUAGGCUAACCCAAGAUGUAUGAGAAUACAAAUGUUGUGAAAAAUCCAUGUAUGACAUAGGGUGUUCUAGAGGCAUACCCAUGACCGGGUUUGACGGGUAGGGUCCAAGGAUCCCUCUUUCAACAUCCCAAUGAGACAAUUCAUGGAGAUGCUCCUGAGCCACUCCAUGGAUGACACAAAUGAACCUGUCCCCCAUGUUUAGAGCCAAGUUGAGGUCCAACGCACCAUGCUACAGCGGGCUGAAGCAGAGUAGCCGAGGCGACGGAGGCAGUAGUGGUGGCGGUGGUCAUGCCUCUAACUUUUGAACCCAUCUAGUCAUCUUCGAUGUGGUCUGCAAUAGCAUCCCCAACGAUGAAUCUGCGGUGGUCUUCCAUGAAUCGAGGUUGGUGAACUUGCCAAGGAGCUGCUAAAGUAGCUUGAUACCCUAGAACUAGUUGUUGGUAAAAAAUCAGCCUACUCUAAGUACCACUUGUGAUGAACUAAGAUAGCUUAGGAAGAAUUAGACAUAGAUUCAACAAGAAUUGGAUAGAAAUUAGAGGAAUUUUAGCGCGGCGGGAGCCCGCGUGGAGGACCCUAGUUUUAGAGUUUGGGUUUCAAUUAACAAAACAUGUUUGUUACACGCUAUUUUGGCCCCUUUUAAGGCAACAUAGUGUCGGCUUUCCAUUCAGUUUGGGUCCACCUGUCAUUCCCUUAAGCUUUCAUGUCCACUAUAUGUUCCUCUUUUUUUGUUGGAUCCCAAACAUCUACGUCGGGCCAGCUUCCAUCACCGUCUACACAUAUGCCGCGGAGUCAUAACAAAUGCGUACUCUCACCUUUGUAGUGAACACUAUAACUUGUGGAGUCUUCAUAUUAUUCAAAGGCAACUGCUCCAGAACCCUUCCUUUUAAAAUUAUACACGCAUCUCAAAGCAUCAAAUCUAAUUAAAUAAAUGUUUUUUCUUAAUUAUUAUUACCUAUCUAGGUGUUGCAUGGGCCUGGCCCUUCCACGUCCAGCCCAAACCCAAUCCAUUUUAAUAUCAUCUAGAUCUGGAAAAAGAAUUCGAACGUUUGGAGUGCUUAUGCUGAGAUGACGCAGCUACUCUGAUGGGUCUCGCCGAGUCGCACAUGACGCCCCCUUGUCAUCCUCCAUUACGCUGAUGACGACACAAUGACACUCCUAUCCAACGCGGGCGGCGAUGAUGACAAAUACAUGUGAUGUUCAUCGGGUUUUACAGCACGGCAUUAUGAUCAACUCCACUCCACCUGAUCCUGCGACGAUAUGUGUAGGACACAGGUUACGAUGGGCUUCAACGGAACUGGUGGCUUCUUGCGGAACUCAGGGCUGUUUAGUUCUGAAAAAUUUUGCAAAGUUUUUAAGAUUUCUUGUUAUAUUAUUUUUUGCAGUACAUGUAUGAAAUAUUAAAUAUAUAUAGAUAAAAAAUAAUUAAUUAUAUAGUUCGUCUAUAAUUUAUGAGACGAAUCUUUUGAGAAUAGUUAGUCUAUAAUUUAAUAAUAAUUGUUAAAUACAAACGAAAGUACUAUAGUAACCGAAACCAAAAUUUUUCACCAAAUAAACAGCUCCAAGCGAAUCGAACGCGCACCAGGGAUAGGAAAGAGAUUAGUUAGGCACGGGCUGGGUUGGAUAUGGUCAGACUCAUGAGGGGCCCAUGUGACAAAGAAUUAAGAAAAAUAUUUAGUUCAUCUGAUUGCCUGUUUUAAGAUCCGCGCAAUUUUAAUAAAGAAGAGUAUUGUAGCAGUUCUCUUAUUCGAAAAGUAAUUUCAAAUUUCAACAACAACAUAUUCUGCAGAAUGAAAACUCUCCAAAUAAAUAUCUAUUCUAAAUGAGCAAACAUUUCUUAUUCUGUCAAACUUGCAUAGGAUUCCAAAACAUAAUACCUCGUAUAAUCUAUGUAUGCCCUUUUCCUUCCCACAUAGAAAAGAACCAUGAGGGUAUACAUAAUCACACAAACAAAAAGCAUCACAUACCACUUAUAGCAUCUCAAGUCCACACACCACACACUGCAUAGGGCAGCUUUAUUUUGUUUUGAAUGAAAAAAAAAGAGGAAAACUCCAGGAAAGAAAAAGAAAAAUUAAAUCGAAACUUCAGGAAGGGGAAUCGCAUCCGAAUCCUCUGAUUUAGUUGUAGGCGUCGGGGUUGGCGACGAGGUAGGCCUCGGCACCCUUGAAAAUGGCGGUGAGUGCCUCCUUAGCCUUUGCUUCCUCGUCCUUCUCGUCCAUGCCCGGCAGCAGCUUGUAGGUCGACUCCACCUUCACCACGCUGCCGCCGUUGGCUGCGGGCUCCACCUUGAUGUGCGACGCCGCGGUCUCGAUGGCAACACCGAGGCCGCCGCCCUCGACGAGCGUGUUCUUGCACUCGCACUUGUCCACGUCCAGGAAAUCGAGCCUCUCCUUCAUGAAGCUGAACGGCAUGACUGCAAGAGCGAUCGAUCCCACGUCAGGCGCUAGCUGUUUGAUCGAUGAUCAAGCGAGAACAUCAAGUCGACUGGGCAUGCUGCGGACACUUACAUGAGGUGAAGUUGAACUGCCUGACGCUGCCAACGCCGCCGUCGCCCUCCACGGGGUGGGCGCUGGUGACGACGUGGGAAGCGACCUUGGGCGCCAGGGUGUGCCAGUCAAUAACGGCGGCGCGGAACAGGCGUGGCGCGGCCACCGGCGAAGGGAUCUCGAGGGUCCAGCUGUUGGCGGAGGCCAUUACUUCAGUGAUCGGCCGAUCGACUAAACUUGCGCUAGACGUCGGUGCUAGGCUCUGUGCGUGGCAGUGCUACUUGCAGCUUCUGCUUGUGUUGCCACGAGAGUGGCGGACUGAGGGCUUUAUAUAGGCAGUUACGGCGGGGGCUGGUGGCGUCCCGUGAGGAUGAGAUCGACGCCCCGGGAGUCGUCGGCGGCUCUUCCGAGUUGUGUCGGCUUGGCACGGCACCGUCACUCAGUCGCUCGUCGGUCCAUUAGUCCAUUAUUAUAAUAUACUAUGUUGCCGGGGUUGUAGACCAAUGUCAGGAAACGUGCUGCCAUUCCGUCAACAUUCAACAUCUAGAAGGUGCGGAAGCAGAGCGUGAGGAAUAAGGACCGAAGGAGCUGCCAGGGGUCCACCGAUGCCACCAUCGGCACCAAGGAGAAGCAGCCGUCGGAGUCGGGGUUGUAGAGGGCUGUCACGUCCGUUGUCGUGGUCGGGGUGAGGGAGGGCUGCCGGAUCCGCCGUAGCCACCUGCUUCCUGAGAUCCAUGGGAGAGGACCCGCCGCUGGCCGAGGUUGAGGAGCUGCCGCCUCUGUGCGGCCAACUUCACCACGGACCUCUGCCGCAGCGGGAGCUCGCGGAGAAGGGAAGGGAUGGUUGGGGAAGGUGUGGGUCCCAUCAUAAUUUGCGAAUAAUUUGACAUUUUUUUAAUACUUGUAGUUUAUAGUGACAAUUUAUAUUUUACUAGUAAAUAUGUCCGUGCGUUGCAACGGGAUAUAUAAGUUUUAGUAUUGGAGAGAACAAAUGACCAUAAAAAUUUUUCAUUAUUUAAUAAAUAGUAUAGUAGGCUACCAUAGUUAAAAUUUAUGGCACUAAAUCCACAAUACUAAUAUAAGUUGUUUGGGCGCCCUUCCUAAAAAUUAUGAUGUUUCUAGUUUCAAAUUUUAUUACCUUGAAUGAAGGUAAUCAGUUUUCUAAUUUUUUUUUUAGUAGCAUCUCUAUUUGCUUUCAUACCAAAAUUGUGAUCUUGUGGGUCUCCACAUCAAUUUUUUUCUUUGGGAAAAACUGCCAGCUCAAGCGAUUCUCGCUGCACGUGGCACAUGCGACCUGAUGCUGCUUGGUCUGGCAUGGGAUAGCUCGCUUGAGCUCGCUGUGCGCAAGCUGCGUGAAGCGGUUUGAAGCUCAGGUGGAUUCGAUUUUUGGAACGUGGUGCUUCUUCAAUUCAGGGCUCCAAGCCUCGUCUCCGGUUAAAUAGCAGAAGUAUGCUCGUUGUCUCUGUCUCGUCUCGCCACUAUCCUGUUCCACACCUAAAGUGAUGGCACCCUCGUCCUCUGUCCGUCCGUGUGCUGAGAAUCUCGGAACCCGUGGUCAUGUGAUGUGGGGACGAAGAACCCAGCCAAUAGCUUGGUCAACUUGGGCAACCACGGACAGCGCAAAAUCGUCCGUGUCAGCCCGGCUCAGCCCAACUACAGCCCACUAUCCCACCAGUAUAUAAUGCUUCAUCCAAAAUAACCCUAGGUCUAAUAUUUACUCACCAGCCGCCGCCACACCUGUGCACACACCUGCUCCUCUUCUCCUCCACCCAUGGGCGUCCUCUCCAUCCCUGCUCUAGUGAGGUUGUGUGGAGAUUGCCCCAAAACUUUGCUCGCUUGGAUCUCUAUGUCUCUCCACCCUUGCCUUGCUCUCUGACUUGUAGCUCCACUCAUGGACGAUUGGGGCUUAUCGAGCUAUUGGGCAACACGUCCAUCACCGUGCUCUUGUGCCACGCCGGCGGAUCCCCACGUCGACAGCCAGCGGCGUCCUCGAAUUCUCCCUAGCGCCACCUAGAAGAUCUCCCACGCCAUCAUCCUCAUCAAGGGCGUCGACAGCUUGCUACUAUUUGUUUCGAUUUUUUGCGCUGUUAGAUUUUAUUUCUACUUGAUUCGAGGGCAGAUUCCAGGAGUGCUAAGACUAUCUACAACAAUCAUCAGGGUAGCGCUACAAGUAAAAGGUUCCAUACCUAUUUUUAGUCUUCUCCAGCAACGAGACCUAAAAGAAAACACUCUCUGCAAAUGGGUCUCGAGGAGAGAGAAUACCCAAAUUUGGGUUAUGCCUCUCCUGAUACCUAAAAUGGGUUUUCUGUAUGGGUACUCUGUUGGAGGCUAUAGUUAUUGCGUUGGAGACCCAUUUUGGGUUUGUGUUCCCAAAUGGGUCUCCUAUUGGAGACAACCUAAGCAGAGAGGAUUUGUUAUUAUAUAGAAAACAGAGGUAGAUCCAAACGAAAAUCUUGGGCUUCUUUUUCGAUUUGGGUUCGAUUUGUAAUUCUUUUUGUUAUUUGACUUGUUGGCUUCUCCUUCCUUUACUUGUUUGCCCUAUUACUUUGUACAUGUAUAGGUUCUACAUGAACUUUGUUUCCAAGCUCUACUGAAAACGUAUAAGAUUAGGUAAAAGGAGGCUUGGCCGUGAGUCAAAGCCGGUACAGGCAAGAUGCCAGACGAAGGCGGACAGGGCGAGCGGACAGAAAAAAGGGCAGAAAAAAAAGACAGGAUGAAAUUUUGGCUCUUUAUAGAUAGGUAUAGAUUCUGAAAACUUUGGCACAUAUGUAUCUGAGAUUUGCAAUCUAUAGAAAUACCUAAAAUACAUCACUAUAUCCAAUAAAUUAUAUUGUAUUUUUAAAGGUAUUAAGCACACUAGGUUCUAAUGCAUAUGCAUGAUCAACAACACCUAUUGGCACUUGAUAACCGCUUUAAUCAUGAUUUUUCUAUCUUCAUAGUAUGGUCCUAAACCCAACUACAUCCUCUAUGAUGUCUUAAUUGGCGAAAUAAAAAUGACUCUAUCAUAUACCUUUGCCUUGAGCCCAUUUUUCUUCUCUCUUUCUUCUUUCCAAUUUGGAGUACUUGAUCUUUACAUUUGCCAACUCCAUCAUCAUGGAUACCAUCAUCUAGCUCCACGUGUACCAAUACUAUCUCAUAUAUAGAAUAAUAAUUUGUACACUUAGUUUUCAUCAAUUAUCCAAAAUCAAAUUAGCGUUUUCACAUAUCAAGUUUCAUCACACAACAUUUGCUUUCUCUUGCCUUGUUCUCUUUCAUGCAAUGCAAGCAUACAUACAUCAUCAGUAUGUUGUCUGUAAUGAGUCUCCGUGCCACAAAUAUUGAUUGUUCUUCCGAAAUCACGCUGGAUAAAAUAAUUUGCAAUUUGUUUGCCACCAUCUUAGAAGCAAUCUUAUAUAUUACGUACUGAUAGGCUGAAACUGCCCUAGCUCGACCGGCUUCUCCACUUUUGGGAACAAUACUGUACAUGUGAUAUUUAUCAUAGAAGGAUCAUCCUCCCCCUCCAACACAGGCAACAACAUAACACACACCUUCUCACCACAUAAGUCUCAAUGCCGCUGAAAAAUGAGCAGGAAAACCAUCCGACCCCGGUGUCUUCAUCUUGAACAUUUGAAAAGGCACAAUCCAAAUCUCCUCCUUUCGUAUACAAGGCGAGCAUCCUGACUACUUACAUCACUCUUUUGGUGUUGCACUAUCAUUAUUAGCCUUAUAAUUAAGUCCUUUCCUCUCCAAUCUCGAGAAUUAACUAAUUAAGUAAAGGUUUGUUUGUUUUCUCAAUUUACCAUGAUAUGAUUAUUACACUAUAAUUCAAUAAUACGCUUCUUUUUAUUCAUCAUAUAAAUAUAUCUAGUGGCGAGACCGCGAGAGUAUGGACAAAGCCCAUACGAAAACUAUCAUAGUGGUGGCAGAGGCAUGAGAAAUUAUUCAGUGCAAACUAUCAAUUAGGUGCAAAAUUAUUUAGUGCAAACUAUCAAUUGAGUGCAAACAUAAACCCUCAGUAGAUGUACUUGGCCACUAAUGUUAAGAUACAAAGAAACUGGAGGGUGAUGCAAAGAAAUUGGAGAGUGAAUCUCUUCUUUUAAACCUCCAAAGAAAUUAGUCACAAAGUGAACAUCAUCAUAGAGCUAUUGUACAACAGAAUAUGAUGUGCAAGCUAUUCAAACUGCUCAAAGUACUCUUGACUGAAUUAGUGUACCGAUGUUUAUUCCAUUGUUUCAUACGUAACUGAUAUUGGUCAUGAUCAAAAUAAUUGCAAACCGCAUCACAAGAGCAGGCCAAGAUGUGAAACGACCAUGCAAAUCUGCAGAUUGUAACCAAGUAGCAGCGGUCCUCCAAAAUUCAAUGCGACAAACCUGGGCUUCAGUGUCUUGCUCAUAGAGUCAUCUCACAAUGAUCCUUCCACAACCAUAAAUUAUCAUUAUCAAAUUUUGGAAAAUCGAUUUGGGCAUCAGACUAACCCAAGGUGUAUGAGAAUAGGAAUAUUGUGAAAAAUCCAUGUACGACAGAGGGUGUUCUAGAGGCACGGAUGGGGCCCAAGGAUCCCUCUGUCAACAUCCCGAUGAGGCAAUUGAUGGCGAUGCUCCUGAACCACUCCAUGGAUGACGCAGAUGAACCUGUCCCAUGUUUGGAGCCAAGUUGAGGUCUAACAAACCAUGCUGCCGCGGGAACGGUUGAAGCAGGGUAGUCGGGCGGUGGAGGCAGUGGUGGUGGUAGUGGUCGCGCCUCCAACUUUUGAAGCCAUCUAGUCGUCUCCGAUGUGGUCUUCCAUGACUCGAGGGUGGAGACCUUGUCGUUGUUGGAGUAGCUUGAUACCUUAGAACUAGUUGUUGGUCAAGAAUCAACCUAAUCUAAGUACCAAUUGCGAUGAACUAAGAUAGCUUAGGAAGAGUUAUAUGUAGAUUCAGCAAGAAAUGGACAGAAAUCAGAGGAAUUUUAGCGCCGCGGGAGCCCGCGAGGAGGAACGUUAGUUUUAGAUCGAGUUUGGGUCUCAAUUAAUAAAACAUGUUUGUUACAUGCCAUUUUGUCCCCCUUUGCGGCAACACAGCGCCGACUUCCCAUUUUGGGUCCACCUAUCAUUUCCCUUGGGCUUCAUGUCCACUAAUUAGCGACUAUGUUCCUCUUUCUUGUUGGAUCCAAACACCUCUGUUUCCAUACCAUCUUCCAUCGCCGUCUACACAUAUCCUACGAGUCAUGACAAAUGCCUACUUCUCUCACCUUUGUAGUGAACACUGUAACUCCUAGAGUCUUCAUAUUAUUCGAAAAAUCAUUUCAAAUUUCAACAAUGACAUAUUCAGCAGAAUGAAAAGUCUCCAAAUAUCUAUUCGAAAUGAGCAAACAUUUCUUACAGUCAAACUUGCAUAGGAUUCCAAAACAAAGUACCUCGUAUAAUCUAUGUAUGCCCUUUUUCUUCCCACAUAGAAAAGAACCAUGAGGGUAUACAACUAUACAUAAUCACACAAACAAAGCAUCACAAACCACUUAUAACAUCUCGUGUCCAUACACCACACACUGCAUAGAGCAGCUUUAUUUUAUUUUGUAUGAAAAAAAGAGGAAAACUCCAGGAAAGUAAAAGAAAAUUAAACCCGAACUUCAGGAAGGGGAAUCACAUCCCAAUCCACAGAUUUAGUUGUAGGCGUCGGGGUUGGCGACGAGGUAGGCCUCGGCAGCCUUGAAAAUGGCGGUGAGUGCCUCCUUGGCCUUGGCUUCCUCGUCCUUCGCGUCCACACCUGGCAGCAG
rnacentral:lncRNA from 1 species